rnacentral:rRNA from 1 species
AGUGAACGCUGGCGGUAGGCCUAACACAUGCAAGUCGAACGGCAGCACAGUAAGAGCUUGCUCUUACGGGUGGCGAGUGGCGGACGGGUGAGGAAUACAUCGGAAUCUACUUUUUCGUGGGGGAUAACGUAGGGAAACUUACGCUAAUACCGCAUACGACCUACGGGUGAAAGCAGGGGAUCUUCGGACCUUGCGCGAUUGAAUGAGCCGAUGUCGGAUUAGCUAGUUGGCGGGGUAAAGGCCCACCAAGGCGACGAUCCGUAGCUGGUCUGAGAGGAUGAUAAGCCACACUGGAACUGAGACACGGUCCAGACUCCUACGGGAGGCAGCAGUGGGGAAUAGUGGACAAUGGGCGCAAGCCUGAUCCAACCAUACCGCGUGGGUGAAGAAGGCCUUCGGGUUGUAAAGCCCUUUUGUGGGGAAAGAAAAGCAGCAGGUUAAUACCCCGCUGUUCUGACGGUACCCAAAGAAUAAGCACCGGCUAACUUCGUG